CCCAGCAAAUACCCUCAACCCAGAGCCAGAGCCCCCACAGUGCCAGCCCGUCCCUCACUCAGGCAGAAUGGGCAAGGAGAAGACACACAUCAACAUUGUGGUCAUUGGCCACGUGGACUCAGGCAAGUCUACCACGACAGGCCAUCUCAUCUACAAAUGUGGCGGCAUCGACAAGCGGACCAUCGAGAAGUUUGAGAAGGAGGCAGCAGAGAUGGGGAAGGGCUCCUUUAAAUAUGCCUGGGUGCUGGACAAGCUGAAGGCAGAGCGGGAGCGCGGCAUCACCAUCGACAUCUCCCUCUGGAAGUUUGAGACCACCAAGUACUACAUCACCAUCAUUGAUGCUCCAGUGGAAAUUCUUCAAGAGGAAAAGCGCCCCCACCCCAGGCUUCCGCGCCAGUGCUGACCACGCUCAGUGCCCGUUUUCCCAAUAAACUGAGCGACCCC
rnacentral:lncRNA from 1 species